rnacentral:rRNA from 1 species
GACGGGAGGAUGCAAGUGUUAUCCGGAAUCACUGGGCGUAAAGCGUCUGUAGGUGGUUUAAAAAGUCACUGUUAAAAAUUGAAGCUUAACUUCAAAGAUGCCGUGGAAACUUUUAAACUUGAGGAUGAUAGGGGUAGAGGGAAUUUCCAGUGGAGCGGUGAAAUGCGUAGAUAUUGGAAAGACCACCAAUGGCGAAGGCACUCUACUGGGCCAUUACUGACAUGAGAGACGAAAGCUAGGGGAGCGAAUGGG